GCAGUCGAGCGAAUGGAUUAAGAGCUUGCUCUUAUGAAGUUAGCGGCGGACGGGUGAGUAACACGUGGGUAACCUGCCCAUAAGACUGGGAUAACUCCGGGAAACCGGGGCUAAUACCGGAUAACAUUUUGAACCGCAUGGUUCGAAAUUGAAAGGCGGCUUCGGCUGUCACUUAUGGAUGGACCCGCGUCGCAUUAGCUAGUUGGUGAGGUAACGGCUCACCAAGGCAACGAUGCGUAGCCGACCUGAGAGGGUGAUCGGCCACACUGGGACUGAGACACGGCCCAGACUCCUACGGGAGGCAGCAGUAGGGAAUCUUCCGCAAUGGACGAAAGUCUGACGGAGCAACGCCGCGUGAGUGAUGAAGGCUUUCGGGUCGUAAAACUCUGUUGUUAGGGAAGAACAAGUGCUAGUUGAAUAAGCUGGCACCUUGACGGUACCUAACCAGAAAGCCACGGUUAACUAACGUGCC
rnacentral:rRNA from 1 species